UAGGGAAUCUUCGGCAAUGGACGGAAGUCUGACCGAGCAACGCCGCGUGAGUGAAGAAGGUUUUCGGAUCGUAAAGCUCUGUUGUAAGAGAAGAACGAGUGUGAGAGUGGAAAGUUCACACUGUGACAGUAUCUUACCAGAAGGGGACGGCUAACUACGUGCCAGCAGCCGCGGUAAUACGUAGGUCCCGAGCGUUGUCCGGAUUUAUUGGGCGUAAAGCGAGCGCAGGCGGUUAGAUAAGUCUGAAGUUAAAGGCUGUGGCUUAACCAUAGUACGCUUUGGAAACUGUUUAACUUGAGUGCAAGAGGGGAGAGUGGAAUUCCAUGUGUAGCGGUGAAAUGCGUAGAUAUAUGGAGGAACACCGGUGGCGAAAGCGGCUCUCUGGUCUGUAACUGACGCUGAGGCUCGAAAGCGUGGGGAGCAAACAGGAUUAGAUACCCUGGUAGUCCACGCCGUAAACGAUGAGUGCUAAGUGUUAGGGGGUUUCCGCCCCUUAGUGCUGCAGCUAACGCAUUAAGCACUCCGCCUGGGGAGUACGACCGCAAGGUUG
rnacentral:rRNA from 1 species